rnacentral:ncRNA from 1 species
AGAGAACCAUGUUGAAGGAACUCGACAAAAUGACCCCGUAACUUCGGGAGAAGGGGUGCUCUCCCAUCUUUUGAUUAGGAAAGCUGCACAUACCAGAGAGUAGCGACUGUUUAUUAAAAACACGGGACUCUGCUAAGUGGUAACAUGAUGUAUAGAGUCUGACACCUGCCCGGUGCUGGAAGGUCGGAAGGAGAAGUGUUAUAAGCUUUGAAUAGAAGCCCCGGUAAACGUCGGCAAUAACUCUAACUGUCCCAAGGUAGCGAGAUUCCUAAACAACUAUGCAACAUUCAAAUUUCAAAUAAAGCAACCUACGGGCCUUUCACAUGGUCU